GUCCGGAGCAGCGCCGGCUGUGAUGGUAGCAGUGUUUUUGCUGGCU
rnacentral:ribozyme from 1 species